UACAGAGGCCCCAAGCGUUACUGAGAAUCACUGGGUUUAAAGGGUGCGUAGGUGGUCCGUUAAGUUCGUUGUGGAAGCCCUGGGCUCAACCCAGGAACUGCUUCGAAUACUGGCGGACUUGAGGCUAGUAGGGGUUACUGGAACUGACGGUGGAGCGGUGAAAUGCGUAGAUAUCGUCAGGAACGCCAAUGGUGAAGACAGGUAACUGGGCUAGUUCUGACACUGAGGCACGAAAGCGUGGGGAGCGAACGGG
rnacentral:rRNA from 1 species